rnacentral:rRNA from 1 species
GACGAACGCUGGCGGCGUGCCUAAUACAUGCAAGUAGAACGCACAGUUUAUACCGUAGCUUGCUCCACCAUAAACUGUGAGUUGCGAACGGGUGAGUAACGCGUAGGUAACCUGCCUGGUAGCGGGGGAUAACUAUUGGAAACGAUAGCUAAUACCGCAUAAUAUUGAUUAUUGCAUGAUAAUUGAUUGAAAGAUGCUAUUGCAUCACUACCAGAUGGACCUGCGUUGUAUUAGCUAGUAGGUGAGAUAACGGCUCACCUAGGCGACGAUACAUAGCCGACCUGAGAGGGUGAUCGGCCACACUGGGACUGAGACACGGCCCAGACUCCUACGGGAGGCAGCAGUAGGGAAUCUUCGGCAAUGGACGAAAGUCUGACCGAGCAACGCCGCGUGAGUGAAGAAGGUUUUCGGAUCGUAAAGCUCUGUUGUAAGAGAAGAACGGGUGUGAGAGUGGAAAGUUCACACUGUGACGGUAUCUUACCAGAAAGGGACGGCUAACUACGUG